UACGUAGGGUGCAAGCGUUAAUCGGAAUUACUGGGCGUAAAGCGUGCGCAGGCGGUUUUGUAAGUUUGUCGUGAAAUCCCCCGGGCUCAACCUGGGAAUGGCGAUGAAGACUGCAAGGCUAGAAUCUGGCAGAGGGGGGGUAGAAUUCCACGUGUAGCAGUGAAAUGCGUAGAAGAUGUGGGAGGAACACCGGAUGGCGCAACGCAGGCCCUCC
rnacentral:rRNA from 1 species